rnacentral:rRNA from 1 species
UACGUAGGUGGCAAGCGUUAUCCGGAAUUAUUGGGCGUAAAGCGCGCGUAGGCGGCUAGAUAAGUCUGAUGUGAAAGCCCCCGGCUCAACCGGGGAGGAUCAUUGGAAACUGUUUAGCUUGAGUGCAGAAGAGGAGAGUGGAAUUCCAUGUGUAGCGGUGAAAUGCGCAGAGAUAUGGAGGAACACCAGUGGCGAAGGCGGCUCUCUGGUCUGUAACUGACGCUGAUGUGCGAAAGCGUGGGGAUCAAACAGG